UAUUCAACGAUAGAUUGCUAUCUAGUCUAGGGACUAAUGAGCAACCUUUUUUCUGUACCAUAAUACUAAUAAAUAUUUCAUACAAGAGAAUCCUCCUUAGGGUCUCCUAUUCAAAUUCUAAUAUUAUUAGUACACUGCUUAUGACUGUACUACACAGGCGGGUUUCACUCAUUUCCUGCUUGCUUUGCUUUUCACUGGACACAAGACACUUGAAUCAGCACUAGACCAGUUCAAAUGGCUUCUUCCUUUUCAUCCUCCUCACCAAUCCUCAAUUUUCCAGUAGCUGGAUUGCUUCGAUGUUGUCGUAUUGGUGGAGUCGGGCCGCUUGUUUCUCUGCAUGCCUCUGGAUUUCGCUGCAUACCAGGUCGACUUGCAGGUCUCUGUGUAGGUCGCUGUUUCUGACGUACCAAGGAGCAUCAGCAAUGUUUCUCAGCACCUUGUUUUGAAAGCGUUGUAUGACUUUGAUGUUACUGUCUUUGGUACACCCCCAAAGUUGUAUGCCAUACCUACAUACUGGCUUUAGAAUCUGUUUAUACAGGAGUACUUUGUUUGGAAUUGACAAGAUGGAGUUCCUUCCAAUCAGCCACCAGAGUCUCUUGUAUUUUAUUCCCAGCUCUUCUCUCUUCUUCUUAACAUGGACCUUCCAGCGAAGCUUUGCAUCCAAGGUCAUACCUAGGUACCUGGCAUCAUUGGCAAAUGGUACUAUUUGAUUGUUAAUGGUUAUUGGUAUGGGUUGAGCCCUCUUGUUGGUGAAAUCGAUAUGAACUGAUUUUGCUUCAUUGAGUUUAAUCUUCCAUUUUGUUGUCCAGUCUUCAAUUUUUCUGAGAUAUCUUUGAAGUUUUGCUGUAGCACUUUCAAUCUUGUCAUCUAUAUCUAAUAUUGCUGUGUCGUCGGCAAAUGUUGCUAUUGUAUUAUUCUCGAGACAUGGUAGAUCACUUGUAAACAGAAGAUAGAGAAUCGGCUCUAAAACACUCCCUUGUGGUACUCCUGCUUUUAUUUCUCCUAGGCCAGAAUAAGCAUCUUCAAGUUUCACUCUGAAGUAUCGUCCAGUUAAAUAUGACUGUAAGAUGUCUGUGAAUUGCUUUGGAAGUGACUUUUUCAACUUAUUAAUUAGUCCUCCAUGCCAGACUCUAUCAAAAGCUUGACUCACAUCCAGAAAUGCUGCAGAACAAACUUUUUUCUCUUCCAACGACCUUUCUAUUUUAUUUACAAUCCUGUGUACCUGAUCAAUAAUUGUUGAAUGUUUUUUCCUGAAGCCAAUUGAUGAUCUGGUAUCAAUUUUUUCAUUCCAAUAAUCGGAGUCAGCCUUUUCAACAAUAUUCUUUCAAAAAGUUUUGACAUUACUGGAAGCAGAGAUAUUGGCCGGUAUGAUGAGAUGUUGUGGGGCUCUUUUCCAGCAUCAACUAUUGCUGUUGAAUUUUCCACAAUAUUAUAAAAUGGUUGAGGUAACCUUUGCUCACUCAGUCUGAAAUUAUUUCUUCUAGUUUUAUUCAGGCACAUUUUGCUAAAAUGAUUCACCACUCAGUCUGAAAUUAUUUCUUCUAGCUUUAUUCAGGCACAUUUUGCUAAAAUGAUUCAUCUUACCCAAUUAUUACACCUUUUACCAGACACUGGGCAGCUCCUACCUUCCACAUGCUGCAUUCCGCAAUAGCCGCAUACAAUCUUCUGAUAUGAGUUUGUUUUCCUUUUAUCGUACUUGGAAACUGGGUAAAGUGAAGAAAGUCACUAGCCCCUUCAAAGUUGCAUAAAAUGAAUUGAAUGAUUGACCUUUCUCUUGUUUGCAAGUUAUAAAAUUGUAUACAUUCAUGAUUUCAUUCUUCUUUGGUAAACAAUAGCUCUCUAAUGUUCUUAAUAUUGAUUCUACCGUUUCUGGCUCAUUCACAUCUUGUAACGAUUCAUACAAAAUCAAAGCUUCAUUGCCUAACAAGUUGUUCAAUCUUGCAACUUGAAUUUGGUUGGACUUUUUAUUUGUCUCAGUCGCUAUAAAAUAAUUUACGAUAUUUUUCCUGAAUAGUUCGAAAUUCUCUGAGACAUUUUCCCCGUUGCAUAGUAACGGUUCUGGCUUGUUGAAAUCCAUGUUUGUCUUUUAAGAAAAAAAUACGUUAAUUACCCAAUUUUAUUACUCACUAAAUCCUGUCGUUAUCAUUCUCCUUUUCUGUUCAAUUCCUUGACUGCGCCAUGUGUAAAUAUCUUUAUAAAUUUGAAGCAACCAUCUUU